GUAGGUGAACCUGCGGAAGGAUCACUAAAGAGAACUUGCCCUUCGGGGUAGAUCUCCCACCCUUUGUUUAUCACACUUUGUUGCUUUGGCGGGCCUGCCUCACGGCUGCCGGCGUAAGCUGGCCCGCGCCCGCCAGAGGACCACAACUCUGUACUAAAUGUCGUCUGAGUACUAUAAAAUAGUUAAAACUUUCAACAACGGAUCUCUUGGUUCUG
rnacentral:misc_RNA from 1 species